rfam:Polaromonas sp. JS666, complete genome.
UGCCAGCACGGGCGACAGAGUGACCUGGAGCGAGAAGUCAGCAGAGGCCGCAGUAGUCGUAGGCUGGGCCGAUGAGACCGAGACCGAGGCGAAGGGC